rnacentral:ncRNA from 1 species
GGCUCUUUGCCGUCUGCGGCGGACGGCAAAGGUCUGCCGUUAGCCACUUAACGGACUGACAGCGCAAUUAUUGCCGUCCGCCCUCUUUGCCGUCCGCCGCAGACGGCAAAGANCGCCGCAGACGGCAAAGAGCCUUU